rnacentral:rRNA from 1 species
AGAACGAACGCUGGCGGUCGUGCCUAACACAUGCAAGUCCAACGUGAAAGGGGGAGGCAAUCCCCCGGUAGGGUGGCAAACGGGUGAGUAAUACAUGGGUUGAUCUACCUUAGGGAUGGGGAUAUCCUUCCGAAAGGAGGGGCAAUACCGAAUAUUGUCCGGUAGCCGUGAAGGUUCCGGGGAAAGGGAGGCCGUCUGAUACAAGCUUUCGCCUUAAGAUGAGCCCAUAGGCCCAUCCAGCUAGUUGGUAGGGUAAAGGUCCUACCAAGGCUACGACGGGUCGCUGGUCUGAGA